rnacentral:rRNA from 1 species
GAACCGUACAAACGUUAUUCGGAAUCACUGGGCUUAAAGGGUGCGUAGGCGGCCAUGUAAGUGAGGUGUGAAAUCCCUCGGCUCAACCGAGGAACUGCGCUUCAUACUGCAUGGCUUGAGGGAGACAGGGGUAAGCGGAACUGAUGGUGGAGCGGUGAAAUGCGUUGAUAUCAUCAGGAACACCGGUGGCGAAAGCGGCUUACUGGGUCUCUUCUGACGCUGAGGUACGAAAGCUAGGGGAGCGAACGGGAUUAGAUACCCCGGUAGUCCUAGCUGUAAACGAUGAGCACUUGUCUGGGGAUCCUCCCAUAGGUUCUCGGACGAAGCGAAAGUGUUAAGUGCUCCGCCUGGGGAGUACGGCCGCAAGGUUG